UACAGAGGUCCCAAGCGUUGUUCGGAUUCACUGGGCGUAAAGGGUGCGUAGGUGGCCAGGUAAGUUCGGUGUGAAAGCUCGGAGCUUAACUCCGAAAUGGCAUUGAAUACUAUCUGGCUAGAGGGUCGGAGGGGAGACUGGAAUUCUCGGUGUAGCAGUGAAAUGCGUAGAUAUCAGGAGGAACACCGGUGGUGUAGACGGCUUUCUGGACCGUAACUGACGCUGAGACACGAAAGCGUGGGUAGCAAACAGG
rnacentral:rRNA from 1 species